CGCCCGGCCCGGCCCGCCCCCCCCUCGGGCCCCGGAAAGGCUCCGGGCGGCUCUCGGGGCCGCCCCGACCCCCCCGCGCUGACACUUUCCGUUCCCGCAGCUCGGCCCCGGCUCGCUCCGACGCGCAGCGGCAGCAGCAGCAGCGAGGCGCCGCCGGGGAUGGGGGGGCCCGGGCCGGUCCCGCGGAUCAGCGGGAUUAGGGAGGGGUUAAACCUGAGAAAUUAGGCUGCGAUUAACCUGGCUCUUGUCUAUAGACUCACGCUUUCUGGGAAGUCCCCUUCUCGUCCGGGGUCCUCCUCUCUCCCAAACGCGCGCUGGCUUGGGAAGUGCGCUGAGCCAACGCAGCUGCAAAAAGGGUCAGGAAACUCCCUCUGUUGUGCUUGUUUUGCUACAACCUGAAAUAUUUCUAGUUCUUCCCUAAAGGAGAGAUGUCCCUCCACCUUUUGAUGCUUCUAUUAAAACCUAAAGAAGUUUGUUUCCGUGGAAAAGGUCUUUCCCUCUGGGGAGGAUCCUUCAGGAAAGCGCUCAGAACUUCUCCUGGAACAGGAGAACUUUCUCACCCCGAAGCGCGCGGGUCCUCCUGCCCUGCGCGAAGGGGAUCGGCACCAGCGACGCCUUCGGAGAGCUCGGAAACUCCCUUCUCCCCACCGAAGGCAAAAGCAGCAACCCAUCACCCCAAACCACCUACCUAUGGAGAUCAGCCGAGCACCAAGGAGCGUAGGACAGCCGAGGUGAGGCCUUGGAGGCCACCACCAGCAACAGCAGGGCUCCCACUUGGCUCAGGAAGGAAGUUUUAUUGGGGGUGUUUCCAGCUAUUUAGGCAUUUUGGCCCAGCUGCAUCCAGAAAGCACUAAUACAACCAGCUAAUGGGAGAAGGCAGCAAAAGGAGGAGUGAAACUGCCCGUGGCAGACCUUCCUGCCGAGCUCUCAGCACGCCCCCCCGAUUCCAGCGAGGGGGACAGGCUCCGCAGAGGGCGAGAGAAGAGGAUACCUGCAGAGCCCCGGAGCUGGCGGUGAGGAGCACCAGGUGGAGGGCAGAGCAGCUGAGAGGGCUUAUGCAUGAUUCAAGGAUGAAAACACAAAACCUGGAGCACCUGAAGCACAGCAGCCUGUCCCCUCAGCCUGGGGCCUCCUCUUAAACCUCUCCCCGCUGCAUGGGCUGCCUGCAGCUUAAACUUGAGCGCUUCUUCACAAGAUGAAUCUGUCGUUCUCAGCGUGAUCCUCUCCGCAGCAGAGCGACGGGCGGUCACGGCUACGUGCCUGAGCUGUGGAAGGCAAAGUCGACGCGCCGGGUGGCAGAGCCGGGAGCGCAGGUCCCCCCUCAGCUCCGCACCCAGCCCUCGGGGCCACGAGAAGCAGCUGCUGUGCCCCAGGGGCAGGAUGUGGGUUACCAGCCUUCCAGCUUCGAGAGUCUUGAGUCUUGGCCCCAGCAGCCACAAACUGCAUCGUGUGAGGGGCUGACACCACCGGGUAUCAGUGCUGGCACCCGCGUUCGAAGCUGAACAGGGAUAAAAAUCAGGCAGUGGAAUGAAGAGAUCAGACUGCAUCUUACAAAGAGAAAGACCUUCCUUUAAAACUUAAAAACAAAUGCCCAUGAAAACAAGAGCAGAAAAAUGUUUUCUAAUGCAGAGGCUCAAACCUCUUUUCAAUAGCAGCAAGAAGGGCAGAAAACCUAACUGCUUUGAAAUAACUCAGCCUUCAUUUCACCAAUGAAUGGCUGCCCAAAAUGAAAAAGUGGACGGGGUAAUCCUCAAGGAAAACAUGCUUCGUAUCACACUUUGCAAGCCACAACUUCGCAGACGAGCUGCUUUACGUGGUGCCUUGGGAGCCGCUGGGGCAGCACGGGCAGCUUGGCCCCGGCCCUGGCCCCUUCCGAAGCCUUGCUGUGGCCUAGGCAUGCCGGCUGCGGGGUUUCCAGGGCUGAGCCGCAAACAGUGGCCUGGUGCAGUGCCUCCCCCAGGCACUCUUCUAGAUUCAAUUCUAAUUCAACAAUUACUAUUGUUCAAACUCAGGCCUACAGUGCAUAAUAUGUAUCUAUAUACAUCUCUGGACUUACGUCCCCAAGUCUCUUCUAUCUUCCUAUGGACGCUGCUUAAGUACCUUUGGGGAUCUGGCCUAACUUGCAUUGUAAAGGAAAUUAAAGUGCUGCAGCUUCACUUAACAGCCUAGGACUGAAAGCCACAGCAGUGUUCACA